GCAAGUCGUACGAGAGAGUAUCUUCGGAUAUGAGUAGAGCGGCGGACGGGUGAGUAACGCGUAGGAAUCUACCUAGUAGAAGGGGAUAGCCCGGGGAAACCCGGAUUAAUACCGUAUACCUCCUUCGGGAGAAAGAAGGCCUCUCUUUGAAGCUUUCGCUACUAGAUGAGCCUGCGUAAGAUUAGCUUGUUGGUGAGGUAAAGGCUCACCAAGGCGACGAUCUUUAGCUGGUCUGAGAGGACGAUC
rnacentral:rRNA from 1 species